rnacentral:rRNA from 1 species
AUUGAACGCUGGCGGCAGGCUUAACACAUGCAAGUCGAGCGGGGGAAGGUAGAUUGCUACCGGACCUAGCGGCGGACGGGUGAGUAAUGCUUAGGAAUCUGCCUAUUAGUGGGGGACAACAUCUCGAAAGGGAUGCUAAUACCGCAUACGUCCUACGGGAGAAAGCAGGGGAUCUUCGGACCCUGCGCUAAUAGAUGAGCCUAAGUCGGAUUAGCUAGUUGGUGGGGUAAAGGCCUACCAAGGCGAUGAUCUGUAGCGGGUCUGAGAGGAUGAUCCGCCACACUGGGACUGAGACACGGCCCAGACUCCUACGGGAGGCAGCAGUGGGGAAUAUUGGACAAUGGGGGGAACCCUGAUCCAGCCAUGCCGCGUGUGUGAAGAAGGCCUUAUGGUUGUAAAGCACUUUAAGCGAGGAGGAGGCUACUCUAGUUAAUACCUAGGGAUAGUGGACGUUACUCGCAGAAUAAGCACCGGCUAACUCUGUGCCAGCAGCCGCAGUAACAC